UUCUGAUCGCAGGAUGCGAAUCCUGCCUGAUGAGCCGGAAACGGCGAAAUCAGAA
rnacentral:hammerhead_ribozyme from 32 species